AAUGGUCAACACAGCUGUGUCAUCAUCUGAAUCCACCAAAGUCAACCAAUUCAAGAGCUGGUUGAGCACUGAGUUCUCUAAAAUUGACAAUAUGUGUGAGAGUGGUCUUCAAGCAGAACCCAGAAAAUUUGCCUGGUUGUCCUCAUUCAAGCAUGCUCAGUGACUUACCUUGUUCCAAGUCAGCCGUGUCAAGAUUUGAACAAGAAUCAAGGAGGAUAAUGGGUCAGAUGUAAUUAAGAGCAAUGGUGUGUCCCAUGGUUGGCUCCCUGGGAGGAGAGUCCAUCCACUGGAGCUGCACUGAUUUGUGGGAUGUGGUUAAACAUCUGCUGGGACUGAGGCUGGGACCAUAAGUCACUUGUCUGCUCUUCUUUGAAUGCAGACCCAUGAGACAGGCUGUCUCUGACAGAAGAAUACAGUUCAUCAAAAGUGUCUGCAGGUUGUCAAACUCGUUCUUUUUAGAGCACUGUGCAAAGAGACAGAGAGAAAUUCACCACUCGACGUGUAAGCAUACCUGCCAUUAAUGCUGAGGGGAGUUAAGUGGCUGCUCCUGCAGAAGAAUAUACCCCAGUGUUCAAGACCAAAAGUUGUAGAGGUUGGAACCUGAUUUAUCCAGAAGCUGGGGAGGACCUUAACUGUCUCCAACAGUUUUGAAAGACAGCAAAAGCAGCACAGCUUUCCUUUAACAAAAGUGGUACAUUCAAGGAGAAGGUACAUGAAUCAGAGAGCUGGAAAAGCAGGUGGGUGUAGUGCUGCUGCUUUGGAGAGAGGAGUUUGCCUGAAGGACAAAGGAAAGUCCCACCUAGCGGUGUCCACAUUCCCAUCUGGCUGCAGAAAGCUGAUACGCAGACUUUAUGUCUUUAUGGUGGAGUAGAACUGCAACAAAAUGUCCAAAGGUUUCUAAGUCAAUGUCCAGUUGUUAUCCACGAUGAGAUGCCUACACAUCUUGGCAGGCAAUUGUUCAGUCUGAAGGAGCUUUAAAUUACUUCACAGCUUGAAAUCCCAGCUUUACCUCAUCCUCCUCUGAGAAGCCAAAGACAUGUGGCAUUGGAAGUCAGGUUUUUGAGAUUAUCUGCUCAGAACAUCUUCACCAAGAAGUCUGUUUUCACUGUUUCACACAACUUGGGAUUUGAUGUUCCCUGCGCAAGUGUAUGAAGAGAAUUGGUUUAGACUAGUUCAGUGAAAAGGAGCUGUUUAUCAAUGGACUCAGAUGCAUGGAGGUCUGAGAAUCAUAAGUGCAAAGCUUUACCCCUCCUGGACAAUGGUCUUUGAGACAAGGCAAAGAGGACACAGAAGAGGUUCCUACCACUGCACAACUAGGAGGUGAGCUCCCUGGACUCAACUGUAAAGGGGAAGAAAGAAUGAGGUUGCCAGACACGCUGAGUUAAUAGUGAGCUGAGAAAAGCAUGACCACCAGCUACCUUUCUGCUUUCCAAAACCUGGAGCAGUGAGAAAUCAAAACCUAGUUUGGGUCAGCCUACAGAGGGAAGAGAAGACACGUUUACUUUCUCUGCUGAAAUUCUCUGAAGUGAAUUCUGACUGAAAAGAAGUGGCGGUGCUAUAACAUUCAGAAACAUAAAUGAUGGUGUUAUAAACGUGUACCUCUGCAUUAGGUAAGAGCACUUUGGUCAGUUGAAUUAGUAGGAUAUUAGAUCCAGCUGAUCUUUUUUGUUCUGUAAAUUUAAAGUACCUCAGUGGCUACCUUAUAGCUAUAAUAUGGGCCUUAAAACAGCACCAAAUUAUGCUCUAAUCUGACUGUUUUAUUAUAGUGACUAGUGAACAGAAGCAACACAUUAAUGCAGCUUCUAUGAAAGUAUCUGUAAAGAGAACAUUUUUUACUUUAAAGGGUAAGUUCUACAUGAGUUUAUAAUUUUAAGUAUUUGUCAAAGGGUUUUUUUUUCCUUGUUAGAGAUGGUGACAUCUGAAUCAUAAUACUACAUGUUGAUAUUUGUGACAAAAGAUCACUCUACAGAUAUGUCAUCACAAAAAUCAAUUGUCAGUAUAUAUUUAAGAAUGUCAAAAUCAUCUUAACUGAAAAGUGCCGUGGUUUAUUAGACUGUGGAGUGUAAAGCCCUCUUUCAAAAUUCAUUCAGCAUUUCCAAUUGGAAGAAUUUUUAUGUAGUGAACUUAUUAUAUAUGCAUAUUCUAGUGGCCUCUAGAGACUUUUAAUUUAAAGCAUAAAUUACAUGUCAUUUCCAACUCUGAUGUCUUUGACUUCAGUCACAAAACUCACACCCAGGACUUUCUGCUACUGAUGGCUUGUGGUAAUACAUCAGUUCUCCCAACAGGAAUGUGCACAGGACAAAUUAGUGCACGUAAUUUUAGCCAUAUGAAGUCAUUACAAAUAUAGCCUUAGCUCUUCCUAAAGUGGACUUCAUUGUUAAUAUAAAUAUAUAUCUAUAAUUACUGACAUUUAUAUUAUUUGGCUCCUGUCCUAAGUUAUGGAUACAGCGAUGAUAAAAGGGCCUUGCAAGCCCUUACCUAAGCGAACCAUGCUUACUAAUUACUUUCCACGGUUCUGGGUUCCUGUAAAUAAAGUUACUCAUGUAUUUAUAAGCAAAGUCAAAAUCUAUACGCAUAUUUCUAAAAGUGAAUUAUCUUGCUCUUUGGGGCAACCAAUACAGUCUACUGCUUGGAAAGUACACUUGCGAGUAAAGCCAUCCAGGGUUCUUCCCUGCGUCUGCCAGGAUGCGUACUCUCCCAUAUCACUGGAUAUCUGAUUUAAAUACUUAAUCCAGUUGGGUUUUUAAAUUGUGUGAGGCCCUAAACCAGAAACUCCUAUGCAAAUAAAAGGAAGUGUUACUUGAAAGUAGCAAAUGGCUGUUGAUAUUUUGUCACUGUUUCCGAAGAGACUGGGGUCAGAGGGUUAGUUUUAAGAGUCUAAUUGUUUGUUCAAAAGGUGCAGCCUGCAAGACAUGAGGACUAACAAAGUGCAGCAUGGAAGAUCUCAAGACAAAUCAGCAGCCCCAACAUUUCUCUCUAAUGAGAAAAGGAAAAGACAGUCCCAUAGGCAUGCAGUAUUUAGGGAGAGAACCACGACUCCUUUCAUGAGUGGAGAGACUGAUGACUUCUGGACUACCUGCUAUCUCAGGGGCACGUCUAGUUUUAAGAGUGAUUUGGCUCACAGGCUGUAACAUUUUCCAGGCAUUCAGAUUGCAACUACUAAGCCAGCAAUUUUAUGCUUUCCUUUCCCUGACUCCAACAGUACCACGAUAUAAGCAGCCAGAUUUUCUUCUGCAUUGUGUUUUUUAUCCAUUCAGCCAAAAUUAACAGUCUUCGAGGAUAACAUAUGCCAAGUGAACUUAAAUCUUGCGGACUCAAAUCGACCUAAAGUUGAUGGAUACAUUCAUGCCUACUGCUGAAAUCUACCAAUUACACAGAACUAUGUUAACUUACCAUAGAAACAUCUCAUCUAAUAGCACAGAUGAUGUUGAACUAACUAAUUACAUUAUGGCACAUAGACAAUGAAAAACAUAACGAAGAUGACAGCACAGCAACAGCAGAUGCUGCACAAAAGAAAAAUCAGAAAAAUAUUGCUCUGCAAAAUGCUCUCAGUUACAGUUUCCUCUGUUAAAAUUAAUCACAAAAAUUAGUGAUUAGUGAUUUCAGAAAAAUCAUAAUCGUAUUUCGAAGAUGUCAUUAAGCUAUUUAAAACUCUGCUUCCUGAGAAGGUAGUUCCCAUUUUUUGUAUCACUAUCAGUUUUAAGACUAGUAAACAUUUUAGUGCCUAUGGCAGAGUUUCUUGGUAGAAUAUCUUUUCCAAUGAGGAGAGGUCCUGAUGGCUCUUCCAGAGACUGAAUUUGGUACAUUCCAGCCAUUACAGGCUUAGAUAAUUAGACAACUUAGAUUUUAUUUUAGCUUGGCAUUUGCUCUAUUCUUGUGCUCUUAGCUGUCAGAGAGCUAGAAUAACAGUGACUGCUGAUUAUCUGUAGCAUGCCUUGUUACUUGAUAUGUUUUAAAUUGUACCAGAUCCUAAAUAACAAAUCUAAAACUGCUGAGCAUGUUUAAAUGUAAUAUGUACACGGAGAUUACAUCCAGAUGAUAUAUUUCAUAGACCCUAUGUUAAAAAAAAUCAUUCUUUUUAACCACAACACCAGUCCUCUCCCCCCUUUCCUGGCGGAAGCCUUCCAUGAGCUUUAUGCACAGACUCCGAACAUAUCCCA